rnacentral:rRNA from 1 species
GACGAACGCUGGCGGCGUGCUUAACACAUGCAAGUCGAACGGAAAGGCCCUGCUUUUGUGGGGUGCUCGAGUGGCGAACGGGUGAGUAACACGUGAGUAACCUGCCCUUGACUUUGGGAUAACUUCAGGAAACUGGGGCUAAUACCGGAUAGGAGCUCCUGCUGCAUGGUGGGGGUUGGAAAGUUUCGGCGGUUGGGGAUGGACUCGCGGCUUAUCAGCUUGUUGGUGGGGUAGUGGCUUACCAAGGCUUUGACGGGUAGCCGGCCUGAGAGGGUGACCGGCCACAUUGGAACUAGGAACCGGCCCGGCCGCUACGGGGGGCAAGAGGUGGGAAUAUUGCACAAUGGGCGGAAGCCUGAUGCAGCAACGCCGCGUGCGGGAUGACGGCCUUCGGGUUGUAAACCGCUUUCGCCUGUGACGAAGCGUGAGUGACGGUAAUGGGUAAAGAAGCACCGGCUAACUACGUG